AACGCUGGCGGCGCGUCUUAGCAUGCAAGUCGAGCGGCAAGGGGAGCAAUCCCCCUAGAGCGGCGGACUGGUGAGUAACGCGUGGGUGAUCUACCCUGGGGUUGGGGAUAGCCAUUAGAAAUAGUGGGUAAUACCGAAUACGGCCGGAGCGCUUUGGCGCACCGAAGAAAGGGGCUACGGCCCCGCCCCGGGAUGAGCCCGCGUCCCAUUAGGUAGUUGGUGAGGUAAAGGCCCACCAAGCCGGAGAUGGGUAGCCGGCCUGAGAGGGUGAACGGCCACACUGGGACUGAGAUACGGCCCAGACUCCUACGGGAGGCAGCAGCUAAGAAUAUUCCGCAAUGGACGAAAGUCUGACGGAGCGACGCCGCGUGUAUGAAGAAGGCCGAAAGGUUGUAAAGUACUUUUAUUGCUGAAGAAUAAGUGGUGGAGGGAAUGCCAUCAUGAUGACGCGAAGCAAUGAAUAAGCCCCGGCUAAUUACGUGCCAGCAGCCGCGGUAACACGUAAGGGGCGAGCGUUGUUCGGAAUUAUUGGGCGUAAAGGGUGCGUAGGCGGAUAUGUAAGCCUGGCGUGAAAUCCUCUGGCUUAACCGGAGAACUGCGUUGGGAACUGCGUAACUUGAGUCAUGGAGGGGUAGUUGGAAUUCCGCGUGUAGGGGUGAAAUCUGUAGAUAUGCGGAAGAACACCGGUGGCGAAGGCGAACUACUAGCCAAUGACUGACGCUGAGGCACGAAAGUGCGGGGAGCAAACAGGAUUAGAUACCCUGGUAGUCCGCACUAUAAACGAUGUACACUAGGUGUUGGGCCGUGCGGCUCAGUGCCGAAGCGAACGUGAUAAGUGUACCGCCUGGGGAGUAUGCCCGCAAGGGUGAAACUCAAAGGAAUUGACGGGGGCCCGCACAAGCGGUGGAGCAUGUGGUUUAAUUCGAUGAUAUGCGAGGAACCUUACCUGGGUUUGACAUGGUAGUGAAUGGUGCAGAGAUGUACCAGCGUAGUAAUACGCGCUAUCACAGUGCUGCAUGGCUGUCGUCAGCUCGUGCCGUGAGUGUUGGGNNAGUCCCGCAACGAGCGCNNCCUACUGCAGUUACUAACAGGUAACGCUGAGGACCUCUGGCGGAACUGCCCG
rnacentral:rRNA from 1 species